AACGCAAAUGGCGCCGUCGUAUCCCGACGGCAUGCCUGUCUGAGUGUCAUUUUUCACCAACCUUGCGGUGGCUCGCCUCACGGCGCCAGCCACGGCAGCACUGAGGGCGCACUGCCUGUAACCGGGCGGCGGCUCUUGAAACUCUGCGACAGCGUUGUCUUGGGUGUUACACUAUCCCAAACCAAGCAUUACUCACUACUGCAACGCGUGGGUCAUUAAAAUACUUGCUAUUUUUCUACUCUUCAUGCGGCUGGCAGGGUUGGGGGCAAUGUGCGGGGUGUGACCGGCAAACGGCCUGCGAACCAAACUGAAAAAUUCAAAACCAUGACCUCAGAUCAGACAAGACUACCCGCUGAACUUAA
rnacentral:misc_RNA from 1 species